GUGGGGAAUCUUCCGCAAUGGACGAAAGUCUGACGGAGCAACGCCGCGUGAGUGAUGAAGGUCUUCGGAUUGUAAAGCUCUGUUAAUCGGGACGAAAGAGCCUAGUGUGAAUAAUGCUAGGAAGUGACGGUACCGGAAUAGAAAGCCACGGCUAACUACGUGCCAGCAGCCGCGGUAAUACGUAGGUGGCAAGCGUUGUCCGGAAUUAUUGGGCGUAAAGCGCGCGCAGGCGGAUCUGCCAGUCUGUCUUAAAAGUUCGGGGCUUAACCCCGUGAUGGGAUGGAAACUACAGAUCUAGAGUAGCGGAGAGGAAAGUGGAAUUCCUAGUGUAGCGGUGAAAUGCGUAGAUAUUAGGAAGAACACCAGUGGCGAAGGCGACUUUCUGGACGAAAACUGACGCUGAGGCGCGAAAGCCAGGGGAGCGAACGGGAUUAGAAACCCUUGUAGUCC
rnacentral:rRNA from 1 species